UGGAGGCGCUGGUAUCGAUCCCGGUAUUCCGCAUGCGAAGCGAGCGCUCUACCAUCUGAGCUACGCCCCU